rnacentral:tRNA from 1 species
GAGGAUAUAUCUCAGUGGUAGAGUGCAUGCUUAACAUUCGUGAGGUCCUGGGCAGGCAUGAGGUCAUGAGUUCAACCCCCAAUAUCAUUA